rnacentral:rRNA from 1 species
GUAGGUGGCAAGCGUUGUCCGGAAUUAUUGGGCGUAAAGCGCGCGCAGGCGGUUCUUUAAGUCUGAUGUGAAAGCCCACGGCUCAACCGUGGAGGGUCAUUGGAAACUGGAGAACUUGAGUACAGAAGAGGAAAGCGGAAUUCCACGUGUAGCGGUGAAAUGCGUAGAGAUGUGGAGGAACACCAGUGGCGAAGGCGGCUUUCUGGUCUGUAACUGACGCUGAGGCGCGAAAGCGUGGGGAGCAAACAGGAUUAGAUACCCUGGUAGUCCACGCCGUAAACGAUGAGUGCUAGGUGUUAGGGGGUUUCCGCCCCCCUUAGUGCUGCAGCUAACGCAUUAAGCACUCCGCCUGGGAGUACGGCCGCAAGGCUG